GGGCACUUGGCACAGUGGUAGCGCGCCUGCUUUGCAUUUUCCCUGUAUUCAGGCAUUGCUUGCAUGAGGUCGAGGGUUCAAUCCCCUCAGUGUCCA